CCAAAAAGGAAGUAGUGUGGUGCUUUUUCCUGUUGGUUUGGUCCUAGAGUAGACUACAGCUCAGCAACUCUUACGACAAAAAGCCCUGGUUUUGCCAAUUAUAUGGAUGAGGAGGAGAUUUGUUACCAUUAAAGCCUGUGUGAUAAUCCUGUAUUUUAAGAUAAAGUUUUUAUUAAACACAUAACGUCUGGGGUAGUGAAGAUCCCCCUCCAUCACUGUGCCUUUUUGACCACAUCAAGCUCACACGUCCCCUUGUCUCGACGUCUGACACCGUGUUCCCGUUGCAUCAUGCAAGGCGGCUUCUACUAUUUGGAGUCGUGUGUGCCAGAACACAGCGUUUGGCGACAAAUGGACGUGAAUAUGUCAAAGGAGAACUUUCAGUGCUAGGUUGCACCGUCAUCACAUCUUAAACCAACCAGAGCUCUCUCCAUCACGACCGCUGGAGUCACAAAGGAGGCCGUCCAGCUCCUCCAACCCGCCCUGCUGCCCGUGAGAGGUCUCCGCUGCCAAGCGGAGGAAACCGGCGUGCCUGGAGAAAACCCACAAGGGCACGGAGAGAACAUGCAAACUCAGCACAGAGAGGUCUGGAUGACGUAGAGCAGGGCAUCCGUCAGGCCGUCGCACUCUCUCAUCCUCCGUCUCGCCUCCUCGCCUGCGGAGCUGACGUUCCUGGAAGAAACACAGGCCGACUAAGACAUCAGAGUGUAUUUCCUCAGCCCAAAGGUGUUCGUUGUGUCAUCAGUUUAUGUGUAUGAACUCCCUGCUUCCCUACACUUUGGUCCUUCACAUUUUGGACUCCUCAUCCGCCACAAUAAACCCAACUGUGACAAAGUCUCUCACUCAAAGCCAGCUAGGAUAGUCUCCAGCUCACCUGUCACUCUAAUGAGUACACGGGCUAUUGAAAAUAAACGGAUGGAUGAAUGGAAUACUAUUUUACUUCCUCUGGAAGUUUGUUUUAUUUCAUUUUAUUGUGUUGUUCCCCUUGAGUGAAAUUUUACAAAAACUCGACUUUGAACCACAACCUGACUUCUUUGUUUCUGAAGUGACACUGCACUAGUAAGAAUUUUUUUUUUUAAUUACUCUUUUUCAUUUUUGAGUCACAAGAUUUCCAAUGGUCACAAUGAUUCAUCUUCUGGUUCAUAUGCCAGAAAGAAUAAGGAAUCUUUUAUUGUUGGGGGUGGGUAGUGACAAAACUAAUGGCAUAACUCCCGGGGCGCCUUGCUGCAGGAAGGGAGGGAUUCCUCUCUGCCCCAUGGGGCAAUCAUUGGUUCCCAUUUUCUUCUCUACCCCACCCCUCCGUUUUUUUUUUUGUUUUGUUUUGUUUUCCCCAGCUGGGGUGGGUCAUUGGCUUGCAAGUUUCAAACUGUUACCCAUCCAGGUAGUGGCGAGCCCCUGCGUCAAUCUCCAUUUGGGGGUGGGGGCCUCUUGCACUUCUGGGGAAACUAGGGGGAUGAUGGUGGCUGGGUGCGCUGGGUAACACAGCCCUUAUGAUUGUGUCACUUUCUACUGGUGUUAUUGAGCUAUUCUUCUCUGUUUUACAUUUUUUUCAUUUUUGUUCUUCUCCUCUUCUCCCUCUCUUGAUUAGGUUUUAUAUGCUCACCCUCUAAUUACAGUUGUAAUGAAAUUGCUUCAUUACGGGGUUGCAGAAAGCAGAAAACCAAAAAGGGAAACAUCAAAAUAGUUAUCAAACUAAUUAGUCAAAAGCUCCUGGAGGUUUUUUUAUACAGCUAAAUAGUAAUGACAGACAAUAGAAAGGCAUUGAUGGCAUGUAGUGGAAUCCAUUCAUCAUUCUGGCAUUAUAAAGAGAUCACGGCUCUUUGACUAGUCUAUGAAAUGAGGGCAAUAUUUUAUUGUUGUGAUGAGAAUGAGGUGAGAGAAAGACACAGGAACUCAAUUAAAACUUAACGUCUGACGCUUCUGGCUUUCAAAGAGAAGGUCAAAACAUUUUCACCAGCUCUGAAUGCUAAUGGGCAAACAAGCUUACUUUGCAUUACUGGCUUCAAAGUGACAAUUUUAUGCAGUCAUUGCGCAAGACUGACAAUGCUUCAUUCUGAUUAAUGUAGGUGCUUGCGUGAUUGUAUACAUUUUAAAGGGUGCAUUGGGAUGUUUGCCUGCAAUAUUUGCUUGAGACCUUUCAGUACCAACCACCAGGACACAAACCGCAUACUGUUCCGUAAGCCAUUUGCAGUUUUUGUUGUUGUCCCGCAGCCUGUCCCAUCUUGGGGUAACAUAUCCCUAACCCCAAGUGUGCUGUUCCACUUUGGAUCGUAACUUUGUUUUGGUCACCGUCAUUGCAGAUCAUCCCAAAUCACAAAUGAUAGGAUGUUUGAAAUGAAAGCAGGGAAUUCAGGGCUUUUAAGCAAUUUCCGAAUAUUAUCCUUUGAUUUUAAUGAAGAAAUAUGCUGAACCACGUUUGAAGGCUUCAUUGCCUCAUUUGCGAGCAUGUUUCCACAUAUUACGUAGAGCGGGCCUGGUUUGUGAAAAUCACUUGGAGGAAUAAACCGGCAUUUUAAAUUGUCUCUUAAAUGUCACUUUUUUCUUGGAAGACAAGCAAUUUAAUUCCUACAAUAACUUUUUUUUUUUGAUAAUAAAAAAAAUGCUUCUUCAGUUAAAUCUAUUGACAAAAAUAAACUUAAAAUUCUAAAACCAAACACUUGUAAAACAUUUAGCUUCACAGCACAAUGAAGUGUUUAAGGCAGACUGUCCACCAUGUUUAGAGUAUGUUGACGACUUAGACAAACAAGUUCUCAUUUUGCUGAAAUGCACUAAAGCUAUAAUUUUUCAUUUUUGUGUGGUAGUAUUUUUUUUUCUUGAAACUGUCCCCCAAUGAGGAUAAGCAAUACAGUGUUCUCCUGUUUUUGUGGGGGUUACGUUCCUUACACCCCCACAAAUAACGAAAAUCCACAAAUAAUGCAUGCAAUAUUAAUAGACGCUGGUUACACUGUUAGCAUGCAUGCCAGUACAUAUUUUAGAAUAUUCGUAAGCUACCAUAUAAUGACAAUCAUGAAGCAGUGAGGAACAAUUGUAUUUCACAUCUUUAAGGAGAAGAA